UACGUAGGGGGCUAGCGUUGUCCGGAAUCAUUGGGCGUAAAGAGCGUGUAGGCGGCUUGGUAAGUCCGCUGUGAAAGUCCAGGGCUUAACCCUGGAAAGCCAGUGGAAACUGUCAAGCUAGAGUCCGGAAGAGGUGAGUGGAACUCCUGGUGUAGCAGUGAAAUGCGUAGAUAUCAAGUGGAACACCAGUGGCGAAGGCGAGUCUCUGGACAUUUCCUGACGCUGAGGCACGAAAGCCAGGGGAGCAAACGGG
rnacentral:rRNA from 1 species